AGGGCGCACGGUGGAUGCCCUGGCUCCCGGAGGCGACGAAGGGCGCGACAAGCCGCGAAAGGCCCGGGGGAGGCGCACAUGGCCGUUGAUCCCGGGGUUCCCGAAUGGGGCAACCCGGCGGGCUGCUGGCCCGCCACCCCGCGAGGGGGGCGAACCCGGCGAACCGAAACAUCCCAGUAGCCGGAGGAGGAGAAAGCAACCGCGAUUCCCCGAGUAGCGGCGAGCGAAAGGGGAGCAGCCCAAACCGGGCGGGUCUCGGCCCGCCCGGGGUAGUAGGGCCCACGUGAGGCCGGCGCCGGCGCGAGCCGAAGCGCCUGGAACGGCGCGCCGCAGCGGGUGAGAGCCCCGUAGGCGGCGCGGCCGGCGGCGGCCGGUGGGGACCCUGAGUAGGGCGGGGCACGUGGAACCCCGCCCGAAUCCGCCGGGACCACCCGGCAAGGCUAAAUACUCCCGGGAGACCGAUAGCGAACCAGUACCGUGAGGGAAAGGUGAAAAGCACCCCGAGCAGGGGAGUGAAAGAGCACCUGAAACCGUGCGCCCGCAAGCGGUCGGAGCCCCCUCUGGGGGGUGACGGCGUGCCUUUUGCAUAAUGAGCCUACGAGUCACGGCGGCCGGCGGGGUUAACCAUCGAUGAUGGGGAGCCGGAGCGAAAGCGAGUCCGAAAGGGGCGCUGAGUCGGCCGCCGUGGGCGCGAAACCGGGUGAUCUACCCAUGGCCAGGCUGAAGGCGCUGUGAGAGGCGCUGGAGGGCCGAACCGGUAGGCGUUGAAAAGCCUUCGGAUGAGCUGUGGGUAGGGGUGAAAGGCCAAUCAAACCCGGAGAUAGCUCGUACUCCCCGAAAUGCCUUUAGGGGCAGCCUCGGGCAGAGCCGGCCGGAGGUAGAGCGACUGGCUGGACGCGAGGGCUUCGCCGCCUAUCAAGUCCUGCCAAACUCCGAAUGCCGGCCCGGCGUGCCCGGGAGUGAGCCGCGGGGUGCUAAUGCCCCGCGACGAGAGGGGAAGAACCCGGACCAGCGGCUAAGGCCCCCAAGCGCGCGCUAAGUUGACCAAACGCGGUGCGGCCCCAGUGACAGCUAGGAUGUUGGCUUGGAAGCAGCCAUUCAUUCAAAGAGUGCGUAACAGCUCACUAGUCGAGGGGCCGCGCAUGGAUGAUGAGCGGGCAUCAAGCGCGCCGCCGAGGCCCUGGACUGCGCCCUUGGCGCAGUGGUAGGGGAGCAUUCCCGCCGGCGUAGAAGCGGGGCCGCGAGGCCCGGUGGAGCGGCGGGAAAGGCAAAUGUAGGCAUGAGUAGCGAUAACGGGGGUGGGAAACCCCCGCACCGAUAGGCCCAGGGUUCCUGAUCAACGCUAAUCGGAUCAGGGUUAGCCGGGGCCUAAGGCUAAGGCGAAGGCCGACGCCGAUGGGGAACGGGCUAAUAUUCCCGUGCUGCCGCCCGCUGCGACGGGGGGACGGAGUCGUGAUAGCCGCGCCCGGCGACGGACUGCCGGGCCGAAGGGGGGUAGGUACUGGCCGGGGGCAACGCCCCGGGCAGCCGAGCCCCGACAGCGCCGCGAGCCCGAGGGCGAGCGGUUAAGCGGCGUAAUCUUGCUCCCGAGAAAAGCCCCUAAGCUCCAGGCGGGCGGCACCCGUACCGCAAACCGACACAGGUGGCCAGGGCGAGGAGCCCGAGGUGCUCGAGUGAUUCACGGCUAAGGAACUAGGCAAACUGACCCUGUAACUUCGGGAGAAAGGGUCCCCCCGCGGGGACGCGGGGGGCGCAGCGAAGUGGCCCAGGCGACUGUUUAGCAAAAACACAUGGCUCUGCCAAAUCGGGAGAUGACGUAUAGGGCCUGACACAGCCCCGGUAAACGGCGGCCGUAACUAUAACGGUCCUAAGGUAGCGAAAUUCCUUGUCGGGUAAGUUCCGACCUGCACGAAUGGUGCAACGAUCUGGGCGCUGUCUCAGCCGUGAGCUCGGCGAAAUUGAAGUCGCGGUGAAGAUGCCGCGUACCCGCAACGGGACGGAAAGACCCCGUGAACCUUUACUGCAGCUUCGCGCUGCUGCUGCGCUGGCGUUGUGUAGGAUAGGCCGGAGGCUUUGAUGCGGGGUCGCCAGACCCCGCGGAGCCGCCCUUGAAAUACGGCCCUUCGCCCGCGCGGGAGCUAACCCCCGUUCCGGGGGGACACCGCGUGGCGGGUAGUUUGACUGGGGUGGUCGCCUCCAAAAGGGUAACGGAGGCUCCCCAAGGUGCCCUCAGCGCGGAUGGUAACCGCGCGCAGCGUGCAAUGGCAUAAGGGCGCUUGACUGCGAGGCCGACGGGCCGAGCAGGUGCGAAAGCAGGGCAUAGUGAUCCGGUGGUUCCGCGUGGAAGGGCCAUCGCUCAAAGGAUAAAAGGUACUCCGGGGAUAACAGGCUGAUCG
rnacentral:rRNA from 1 species